CCAGACUCCUACGGGAGGCAGCAGUGGGGAAUAUUGCACAAUGGGCGCAAGCCUGAUGCAGCGACGCCGCGUGAGGGAUGGAGGCCUUCGGGUUGUAAACCUCUUUUAUCGGGGAGCAAGCGAGAGUGAGUUUACCCGUUGAAUAAGCACCGGCUAACUACGUGCCAGCAGCCGCGGUAAUACGUAGGGUGCAAGCGUUAUCCGGAAUUAUUGGGCGUAAAGGGCUCGUAGGCGGUUCGUCGCGUCCGGUGUGAAAGUCCAUCGCUUAACGGUGGAUCCGCGCCGGGUACGGGCGGGCUUGAGUGCGGUAGGGGAGACUGGAAUUCCCGGUGUAACGGUGGAAUGUGUAGAUAUCGGGAAGAACACCAAUGGCGAAGGCAGGUCUCUGGGCCGUUACUGACGCUGAGGAGCGAAAGCGUGGGGAGCGAACAGGAUUAGAUACCCUGGUAGUCCACGCCGUAAACGGUGGAUGCUGGAUGUGGGGCCCGUUCCACGGGUUCCGUGUCGGAGCUAACGCGUUAAGCAUCCCGCCUGGGGAGUACGGCCGCAAGGCUAAAACUCAAAGAAAUUGACGGGGGCCCGCACAAGCGGCGGAGCAUGCGGAUUAAUUCGAUGCAACGCGAAGAACCUUACCUGGGCUUGACAUGUUCCCGACGGUCGUAGAGAUACGGCUUCCCUUCGGGGCGGGUUCACAGGUGGUGCAUGGUCGUCGUCAGCUCGUGUCGUGAGAUGUUGGGUUAAGUCCCGCAACGAGCGCAACCCUCGCCCCGUGUUGCCAGCGGAUUAUGCCGGGAACUCACGGGGGACCGCCGGGGUUAACUCGGAGGAAGGUGGGGAUGACGUCAGAUCAUCAUGCCCCUUACGUCCAGGGCUUCACGCAUGCUACAAUGGCCGGUACAACGGGAUGCGACGCGGCGACGCGGAGCGGAUCCCUGAAAACCGGUCUCAGUUCGGAUCGCAGUCUGCAACUCGACUGCGUGAAGGCGGAGUCGCUAGUAAUCGCGAAUCAGCAACGUCGCGGUGAAUGCGUUCCCGGGCCUUGUACACACCGCCCGUCAAGUCAUGAAAGUGGGCAGCACCCGAAGCCGGUGGCCUAACCCCUUGUGGGAUGGAGCCGUCUAAGGUGAGGCUCGUGAUUGGGACUAAGUCGUAACAAGGUAGCCGUACCGGAAGGUGCGGCUG
rnacentral:rRNA from 1 species